rnacentral:rRNA from 1 species
GAUGAACGCUGGCGGCGUGCCUAAUACAUGCAAGUCGAGCGAACAGACGCCGUGCUUGCUCCUCUGACGUGAGCGGCGGACAAGUGAGGAAUAAGACGAUAACCACCCUCUAAGUCUGGGAUAACUACCGGAAAACGGAGUGACUACCGGAGAAUAUAUUGAACCGGAUGGUUCAUGAGUCAAAGACGGAUUUGGUGUCGGUUGUGGAUGGACUCGCGCCGUAUUAGCUAGUUGGUAGGGUAACGGCUUACCAAGGCGACGAUGCGUAGACGACCUGAGAGGGUGGUCGACCACACUGGAACUGAGGCACGGUCCAGACUCCUACGGGAGGCAGCAGUAGGGAAUAUUCUGCAAUGGGCGAAGGCCUGCCGGAGCAGCGCCGCGUGGGUGAUGAUGGUCUUCGGAUCGUAAAGCUCUGUUAUUAGGGGUGAACCAAGGUGUACUUAUCUAUGCAUGUCUUGACGGUACCUAAACAGGAAGCCACGGCUAACUACGUG